CUUCUGCUGCUUACGAGAAGAUUACAGGCGCCAUCUUGGAUCAGGGGAGGUUUUUAAACUGGAAAAAAGUCAAAGAGCAGGAAAGAAAAACAACUAUUACAACAUCUGCAAACCCGUCCAUUCGGGCCUGCGGUAAAAAUGACACUCGGUUUAAACUCAUGACAUCGGUUUUAAAGUACUUUUAAAAGACUCGGACGAAGUAAAACCCGCACUGGAGAAGAAACAAACAUUGGACAGGGAGAUUUUUUUCUCUGCAGCUGGGAAAGUUGUUUUGUAACGUUAUUUGUUACCUCCCAAGUGAACACCUUUACAUAUAGGAUAUGACAUCAACUAAUUCAGAUAUGCCUGAGGUCUCUUCACUGGCCAUGGCCACACCAGCUGGAUCUCAUUCUAACAGUGCCACCGUUGUGCCGAAGGCCAAUAACAAGAGACAAGCCACCUCGGACUAUGACGACGAUGAGGGAAGCAAAUUAUUCAGGUGUGAUGAUGAUGGAGGUGGAUCGAAUGACAAGGAGAGAUUUGCCAGGGAGAAUCACAGCGAGAUCGAGCGGAGGCGGAGAAAUAAGAUGACCGCUUACAUCACAGAGCUGUCAGACAUGGUGCCCACCUGCAGCGCACUGGCACGCAAACCAGACAAGCUCACCAUCCUGCGCAUGGCUGUGUCGCACAUGAAGUCGCUCAGAGGGAGCGGCAACACCAGCACCGAUGGAACCUAUAAACCAUCCUUUCUCACAGACCAGGAGCUGAAGCACCUGAUUUUAGAGGCAGCUGAUGGUUUCCUGUUUGUUGUGUCAUGUGAGACCGGACGCGUCAUUUAUGUUUCGGACUCUGUUACACCGGUUCUGAACCAGGCACAGACGGAUUGGCUUGGAUCAUCACUGUACGACCAGCUUCAUCCAGACGACACAGAGAAACUCAGAGAGCAGCUUUCCACCACUGAGAACAACAACGGCGGUCGGAUGUUGGACAUGAAAACAGGCACGGUGAAGAAAGAGGGUGGUCAGACAUCUGUGAGGAUGAGUAUGGGUGCACGUCGCUCCUUCAUCUGCAGGAUGAGAUGUGGAGUGUGUCCAGUAGAGCCAGUAUCCAUGAACAGACUCAACUUCCUGAGAAGCAGAAACAGGAAUGGAUUGGGUCCUCCUAAGGAUGGUGAACCACAGUAUGUGGUUGUGCACUGCACAGGCUACAUCAAAUCCUGGCCUCCUGCAGGAGUGACUCUUUCUGAAGAGGAGGCUGAUAAUAAUCAGGGAAAUCGUUUUUGUCUGGUCGCCAUUGGAAGGCUCCAGGUCACCUGUUGCCCAGGCGACACAAACAUAAAUAACAUCAGCGUUCCAGUGGAAUUUAUUUCCCGCCACAACUGCCAGGGCAUUUACACCUUUGUGGAUCACCGCUGUCUGUCAACAGUGGGCUACCAACCUCAGGAGUUACUGGGGAAGAGCAUUCUGGAUUUUGCACACCCAGAAGACCAGGGCUUACUGCGGGACAGCCUUCAGCAGGUGGUGAAACUGCGAGGUCAGGUGCUUUCGGUGAUGUUCCGCUUCCAGUCUAAAUCGCGUGAGUGGAUCUGGAUGAGAACAAGCUCGUUCACCUUCCAGAAUCCUUUCUCUGAAGAGAUCGAGUACAUCAUCUGCACCAACUCCAAUGUCAAUAGAGGUCCGAAUCAGGAUUCCCUGUCCCCCCUUUCCUCCCCGGGGGUUUCACUGCCCUCUUCGCUGGGGCAGAGCAGUCCUAACUGCCCCUCUACACCCAGCCCAGGUCAAGUCACAGCCAGGCAGUUGCAGCAGCAGCAGGCGGAGUUAGACGGAGGGAUAGGUAGAGAUGCAGCCUAUGAAACCAAUCAGGUUGCUCUUCCUCAGGUUCCAGUGCAGGCUGUAGGUGUAGUCAAUGCUGAUCACAACUCUAAGGCCGUGUCCUCCAGUGCCUCCAGUGGACAGCAGGUUUACCCACCAGCAGCGUCUUUCCCCAGUACUGCACGUCCCAGUGAGCCCUUCAGGUCAGCUGCAAUGCCCCAGCAGAUGGUGCCGGUGGCUCAUUCAGCAGGUCAGAUGCUGGCGCAGAUGUCCCGUCAGAACACGCCCUCUGGAGUCACCGCCAGCAACAACAACAGCCCCAUCCAGGCCCCGGCGGGACCCACAGCGCCUCCUGGAGUCUGGUCUGCUGCACGAACUCCCUUCAACACACAGCAGGUGGCAGGUCAAGUUGGAAAAGGUCAGUCAUCUCAGUUUAACAUGGGUGGUUUCAGCUCCGCCCCUACAUCCUCCACUUCCUCUUCCUUUGGCCAGAUGGGUGGUGCUUCUGUUUCAAUGGCAAACACAAGUUACCAACAAAUAAACAGUCACACCAACCCCUCAACUAAUGGAUAUGGCGACGUUAGUCAGAUGGGAGCGCAGUUCAGCUCCAGGCCAGCAGAGGGAGUUGCAGGGUGGCAGCAGUGGCAAAAUCAGCCACACACACAAGGCACUGCAGACACACACCCGCAGUCUCAAAACAACCAGCCAGAGAUGUUUCCGGAUGUUCUCUCCAUGUUGGAUCAGACCGGCAGCUUCGGGAACGAUGACUUCGGAGAGAUGCCUAUGUUUCCUCCUUUCCCUGAGUGAUCCCGCUUUUCUGUCAGUUCCUUCACUCACUGUUGCCAUUUCUUACUCUUUUAACCAAAUCGACGGCAGGGUCGGACAGAAUGGAGACACAGGGGGAUCUAGAGAAAGAGAGAAGGAUGCAUUGUGAGAAUGGAAGUUAUAAGCCAUAAUGUGAGGAUACAGGAGAGAGACAGAAACGACGUAGCACACAGACAGACAGACGGACAUUGUUGAAAUGUGUUCACUUUGAAAUCACGCACAAUUGCACACUUCUUGCACAAGCGGUCCCACACUGUGUCUCUGCCGUACACGCACAUGCUUUGAAUUUUGAGUUGGCAAUGAGGAGGGUAAGUUUGCCCUAUAAACACACACACACAUGCGCGCGCACAAAGGCAGUCUCGUCUGUCUGUCUCUGACUGUGAUUGUGUACUGAUUGCACUGCCUCUUUUUUAAUGCCAUGUGACAUUUUGAUCCCCAUGAUACAAUGUGUCAGAAAGUUGCUCAGAAAUACGUCCAGAUCAGAUGUGUUGGUCAGGUUCGUUGUUGUCUAUAAAGCAGAAGCAGUGGCAUGUUUUCCUUUUUCUCAUUUUAAGAGCUUCUUUUUUGAAGAAUAGGCUCCCUUUCAGUUGAUGAUUUGGAAUUUGAAUUUAAUUGGCCUAACAGGAUGUUGAAUUGGAAAGACAGGACGAUUAAAUCAAUUUACUGAAAAUUAUGGACAUUUACUGAAUUGGAAUUUUGCACAUUAAAGGGAAAGUUCACCUAAAAAUGAAAAUUGUCAUCAUUUUCUCAUUGACUUCCAUAGUAUUUUUUUCUUUUUUUUUUCUUCCAUAUUAUGGAAGUCAAUGGGGUCCAGUAACUGUUUGGUUACCGACAUUCUUCAAAAUAUCUUCUUUUGUGUUCAACAGAAGAAAGAAAUACAUACAGGUUUAGAACAACUUGAGGGUGAGUAAAUGAUGACUGAAUUUUCAUUUUUGGGUGAACUAUCUAUGGAAGUUUGUUUCUGCCACUAAAUAAAAAAAUAAAAAUGGUAAUUGCAACUUUUUAUCUCACAAUUCUGACUUUUUUUUUUCAGAAUUGCGAGAUUUAAACUGCAAUUGCGAGUUAUAAAGUUAGAAUUGUUUGUUAUAAAGUCAGAAUUGUGAGAAUUCUCGAGACUUAUGAGACUUUUUUUUUCUCUGAAUUGUGAGUUAUAAACUCACAAUUUUAAGAAAAAACGUCUUUUUCCCCUCACAAUUGGACAAUUUAACACGCAAUUGUGAGUUUGUCUCGCAAUUCUUUUUCUUGCAAUUGAGUUUUUAUCAAGCAAUUCUGACUUUAACUGUCAAUUCUGACUUUUUUUUCCCUCAGAAUUGCGAGAUAUAAACUCAGUUGUGAGAUAUAAAGUCAGAAUUGCGUUAUAUAAAGUCAGAAUUGUGAGAUAAAAAGUCGCAAUUACCUUUAUUUUUUAUUUCAUGGUGGAAACAAGCUUCCAUAAAUAUCCCUUUAAAUACAAAACUCUAUAAACAUUGAUUCUUAUCAUCUAAUGUUUCUGGAAAUACGUUGUGUAUGAUGUUUAUGGGUAAUUCAUAGUGCAAAACGAAAUAUGUUCAAAAACUACUUUGAAAUUCCAUUGCAUAUUAAAUGUUACUUCUCUAAAUUCUACAUCCUGUUUGCUACCUCAAUUCAAAUGCAGCAUUUAGAAGUGAUUGUCCGCUCAGCUGUGAGUGUUGGUGCAGUAUAACAGACGCUGAUGCAGUAAAACUCCUCACAGAUGUUGUUCUUUUAUCAGUUCUGCAGCUUUAUCUGUAAAGUUUAAAUGGACAGACGCACAUUGAUAAUAAGAAAUAUUUCUUGAGCAGCAAAUCAGCAUAUUAGAAUGAUUUCUGAAGGAUCAUGUGACACUGAAGACUGGAGUAAUGAUGCUGAAAAUUCAGCUUUGAUAACAGGAAUAAAUUACAUUUUAAAAUAAAUUCACGUAGAAAACAGUUAUUUUAAAUCACUGUUUUUACUGUAUUUUUGGUCAAACAAAUGCAGCCUUGGUGAGCAGAAGAGACUCAAAAGCAUUAAAAAAAAUCUGGUUACACUAUUUUGAGGGUCCACUUUAGACAUGCUACUAACUAUGAGUAACUUUGCAACAACACGUCCUCUAACUCUCAUUAGAGAAUUAGUAGACUGUUAGGGUUACCCUGACAGCAACAUAGUGUCGGCCACAUGUAGUCCACAUGUACCAGAUGUGGGCCGGAUCUGGGCCACACUAUGUUGCUGUCUGGGUAGUAGAAUAAGUUGGGAUGAAACCAUUGCAGUUACAUCUUUGGAUCAUUUUUGUCAUUUUGUAAUUAAAAUGAUGGCCAUGUUUUUCAAGGUACAGUGUCAUAAUGGUCUAUGAUAGCAACUGAGACAAAGACACUGCAUGUCAAUCAGACCAACGGUACUGUAGUUAGAACCAAAUAUGUUUUGUUCAAUUAUAGCGCUAUUUUUUUGUGUGUCCUCAGAGUGCCCCCAUACAUAAACAUGUCAAAUUCGGUAAAAAUAUCCUAUUUCGUUUAGAAGUUAUAGACAUUUAUAUUUAUGAGCACAUAAAAAAUUACCCACAUCUGACUUUGAUUGCAUUUUUUUUUUGCCACUUACUAUCAAAAUUUUGACAUUUGGCCAUUUACACUUAGUCAACGACCUAUGUUUCCUAUUUUCCCACAGUGGUUUUGUCUCAAUUGGACAAACAGUUUUGAAUAUAUUUGUGAAAGUUUUUUAAAUGCUAAAUCACAACGUUGCACAAAUCAUAAGGCGAAACUUAGCAUGUUUGGUAUCACUGGACUCUGCAAGGAUUCAGAAAUCUAAUGAGAUGACUCCCGUGAAAAUAAGUCAACCAAAUCCAAAGUUAUAAGCAUGUGAAUAUUUGAUUUCACCACAAGGUGGCUCGAAACUUCUCAGGCUCCUUCAGGACAUUGUGCUAAUAGCCCAUACCGAGUUUCGUAACGAUACGCUAAUGUGUUCAUAAAAUACUGCAUUUUAGCACAAAAUUCAAAAUGGCUGAUAUGGUAAGUAAAAAUUGGAUACCAUUCGACUCUGCAUGCUGCCCCAAAUCUAACAAGACCACAUGAUUUUUGGGCAUAUCAUUCAGAAGUUACAGUAUAAGCAAAAUUAGACAUUUUCCAUAUUUUCAUGUAGCCUCAGGUUAUGCUUGCUCUGACAUGUACCAAGUUUGGUCUUAAUACGCUAAAGCAUUGCAGAGAUAUAGCCUCAUGUGCAAUUUGGCGUGCUCUUUGUCGAAUUCGUUUCUGCUUUAUUUGAGAACGGUUGGGUUUAUCAAAAAGCUUUUGAUAUAUUUUAGUCAGCACGGUCUGUAGAUAAUCUGGUUCAAUUCUCAUUAAAUUAGGACAAACCGUCUAGGAGGAGUUCGAAAAAGUUAUAAAUGUAAGUGAAAUUUUGGACAGUUGGUGGUGCUAUGGGAUUAAGUUAGAGACUCCAAAUUUGCUAUUAUAAUAUUUGGACUGUUCUCUAUCAGUGUGCCAAAUUUCACAACUUUAUACCGGUUCUAUGGGCUGCCAUAGACUCCAUUAUUUUAUUUUCAUGAUUUAAAAAACAUUUUUUUUCUUUUGUCAAAUCAACUUAACAAUAAUUAAUGUAGUUCAUAUAACAUAAUAUUUCUGUUGAUUAAACCAAUCCCCUUCAUUGUAUUAUCUCAAUUUUUUUAUUUUAAUAAACUCAAAAUUUUAAGGCAACCAGGUAACUUACUUUUUUAAGUUAAACCAAUAAUUCUUUUUUACAGUGUACUGCAAAUAAUAAUUGAUCUGAUGUCAGCCACUGAAACAUAUCAACUGCAAAUCAAAUCAAUUAUAUUUCUCAAGAUCUGAGCAGAGGAUGAUUAAACAACUCCAAAAACAGCUUUACCAGCUUCACUUAUUACAGAUUCUUUAUUUCUUUAAUAAGUUGUUUCUGAGAAUUAAAAAGUUUAGCUCUAAUUAAUGGAAAAUUUGCUUUAGUCACGCACUUGACCCUUGGCUUUUCUUAAAUGACUUUUUACACUGAUUGCAACAGUGUUUCAUUAACCUCACUUGUGCUUUGAUAAAGUAGAUCAGCUGAAGUUGUCUGAUUUUACCACAUUGAAAUACUUGUUGUACAGUGAAUAAAAUUACUGUUUAAAUGACUGUUUCUGAGCAAAUACAGUAAUAAUUAAAGCUGCGAGCAGCGAUGAAAGGGCCCUCGCACCCGGGGCCACCACCACCCGGUGGCCUUAGGAAAACAGUGAAUAGUGGGAGACAUGCAUGUAAGCGAGUAAAUACAGGAGAAAUAUGGCAAAAUCAUUUUGACGUGACAUACUUCCUGCUGUCAACAGGUGGCGCUUUGACUGAAAUAUAACUGAAUAUUGCCAUGUAGAUGUCUUCAGGGCAGGACUAUUAUCAAACAUGUGAAGUUUGGAGCAGAUCGGACAUUGUAUGCCUGAGUUACAAUAACUUUCUGUUUUGUGGCGUUAAUCACAUACUUUAGCACUUAGCCAAGUGUUGCAUGAUUUAACGUGUUUCUAGCAUGUUUGGUACUUCAUGGCAUAUGGAAAUGUGUUUCUGGGAGUGAAUUACAGUGCAAAGCAUGCCAUUUCCUGUUGCCAGCAGGUGGUGCUAUGACUAACUGAAUAUUGGCAUAUAGAUGUCUUCAGGCCAGGACUCUUCACACAUGUGAAGUUUGGGGCAGAUCGGAUACUGUAUGCCUGAGUUACAACAGCUUCCUCUUUCAUGGCGAAACAUCAGACUUUGUCAGGCCGCCACGGACACGCCCUUCAACGAAAACUCAAGAUCUUCAAAAUUUAACAUCGCUAAGGCCUUAAGAUUAGACUGACCAUGUAGGUUCUGGUUAAAUCUCUAUGAGGAGUUAAUUUCCUGUUGCCCGCAUGUGGCGCUAUGACUGUAACUGAAUAUUGCCAUGUAGAUGUCUUCAGGCCAUAAAACGUGAAGUUUGGGGCAGAUCCGACAUUAUUUGCCCGAGUUACAACAACUUCCUGUUUCAUGGCGAAACAUCGAAUUUUGUCAGGCUGCCCCGGACAGUCUCCUACAACAGGUUUACAUCCAUGCAAGGUCAAAAAAUACUCUCGUUUUCUCAUAAUGUACAUUUAAUUUCACCUCAGUUCACCAAAGAUUGGUAAACGAUUCGUUAGAAGCAGUUCAAAGAAUCAGUCUCUCUAAACCCCUCCUUUCCGUGAGCCUACACUGCUCUGAUUGGUCAGAUGGCCCAAUCCUCUGUGAUUGGUCUACUGCACGCACCGCGCCCCCAUUGCCAUAACUGAAUGACAGCUAUCAAUUCGCAAGACAUUGUAUACAAUGUAUGGACAGAAAGGAUAGCAUCGAUUUUACGGUAUCAAUUCGAGCCCGAGUCCGAUGAUGAAACAUCUGAAGUAGUCGAUCAACCAGAAACUGAUUCGCAAUCACGACUGGAGUAUGAUGUUUCUCUAUGGUAAGUGUCAGCUUAGUUUGCAUUAUUUAUAAGACGUGAUAGCAGUGUCACUGUUACACUUUAAUGUAGGUGCACCUGUGGGAACAUUUAGGCCAGAUGUGUACAUACUUUUUCGUCAUAGAAAAAUGUCUAUAUCAUUGUUUGACAUUACAGUGAGUGUUUACUGUUUACAGAGAGAAUACUUCAACUGGUUAGCAUGGACUAACAUCUUAACAUCCUAUUACAAUACAGAUAGAGCUCCAUACUACUGUAAACACAGAGGAAAUAAACAGUUUGUUUUACAGUUAUGUAAGCAAACUGGGCCCACAGCUAUGUUGUAAACUCCCACGUUAGCCAAGCACAAACGUGAAUAGCUGAUAAUGCAUUACACUUUGUAAACAAAAGUCGUACUCCAUCCUUGAUCAUUACUCCAAGUAAUAAGACAGACAAGCUGCAUUAAUCGACACAUUUUUAGACAAUAUUGGACACACAUCUGAAUAGCAGAACUACAGAAACGUGAGUUAGCCGGUUAGCAGGAGACAGACAGACUAGGGUGUACGUUACACAACAUAACAUACAAAACUACGAAUUUUGAACGAUCGCUAGAAAAUAUAAACAUCAAAUAUUAAUCAUACUUAUAUGUUGAGAUUCAGAGGAGCAAGUGAUGGAGUAUUUUAUCCAUCCUAUAGAAAACAAUUGUAGAAUUAGUUUGCUUACUAUAAAAGCUAGAAGUGUUUUGAGGCCUCUUGGCCUAUGUAACUGUAAGGAUCAGACAAGUUUACUUGGCCACUGAGCAUAUUUUGUUGGUAAUUUUCCACCAGACAACAGGUGGCUGUGAAAUGAACAAGACCAUUGUUAAGUGCGUCAUAUGAAGGCUUCUUGCCUCUGGGGUGUAUUGACUGGUUUGAUAUACUGUUUCAUUUGGCCCAUGGGAAAAGGGUUGACCAUCAAAUUGGCAGAAGGCCCAUGAGAAAUUAAGUCAAAAGAUGUACAGUAGCUAGAAGUUGGUCACCCUUACUAAGAAAAUUGUCUCUUACAUAAGCAACACCUGAAAUCAUAUUAGUGAAAUGACUAUGGUAGAAAGGUCGGCGAGUACAUGGGAAAGACGUGUGGGGGGAGAGCACCUGCAAGUGAGAAUAUGGGAAAAUGUAAGGGUGGAUAUUACCAUCCAAUGAUAUUACUUUGGUGUGUUUUAAGAGAUAAGAAAAAUGUAUAAAAACUGUGCCCCAGCUAAGAGAGAUUCAGAUGUGGAGCUGGCAUCUCACUUUGUUGCUUGACAAUAAAGUUAAAUACUUCUGAGAGCUGGAACUACGACUCUGUGAGUUUUUCUUCGAGACCAGAACUGAAGGGACACAGAGACAUCGAAUUUGCCACGACACAAGCUGGUCCAAAUAAACUGGGCAUUGAUCCAUAUUUCAAGACCAAGCAUUUUGUGAAUCCUGCGUUAAACUCCCUGAAGUUUGAGAAGCAGUCGUCAGUAAAUGACGGGAACACAACAAAAGACUGUACUGCUGUUGAAAAAAUGAAUUUUCCCUGGCGUCUGCGUGAGCAAUAAGUGGGCGGGCAAUAUGCCAAUGUUUCGCUGUGAUGUCACAAUGAAACGGCUUGGGAUUCGUUUUACAAACGACUCGUUUAACUGACUCAGAGUCGACUCUUACUUUUGAGAGACAACUUAAUAUAUGGUGCAUUUUCAGAUUUAAAACUUUGCAGGAUGUUUUCAUUCACUUAGGUAAUUUUCAAAAAUCCAUAAUAGGGGCACUUUAAAGGUCACAAAGGCCGUUAGAUUAGUCUGACCAAAUAUGAUGUUGAUCUGUUUAAAGCUCUAGGAGGAGUCUGUUAAAGUACAACGUCUGGAAAUGGAAAAAACUGCAAAAAUUUUGCAGAGAAAAUUCAAAAUAUCUCACUUCCUGUUGGGUUUUCAGAUUUUGCUCCCAGGGACUUUUUUUGUAGGUAUUGGACUGUUACAUGUGUCUACCGAAUUUCAUAUUAGUCUGUGAAACGUAGUACAAAGGGCGCUUAAUUGAAAUUUUGUAGGUGGCGCUAUCAAGGCAUUUUGCCACACCUAAUUCUGAAACCCAUAUCAGAUGUAAAUUUUCACCACUUCUGAUGUGUGUGCAAAGUUUCAUGAGUUUUUGAGCAUGUUUAGGCCCUCAAAAAUACAAUUCAUUUCCGAAAAGAAGAAGAUUUGACCGAGCAAUUACAAUAAGGUUCUCACACCACCGGUGCUCGGGCCCUAAUAAGGUUGACGCCCUAUUGAAUUAUGAAAAUAUUUUCUUGUAACUAAAAUUUAGCUGGAAGCACUAGUGCAUUAAUACUUACACAACUGAGAAUAUCAGAAUCAUUUUUUAUGCAAUAAUUUCAAACUGGGUAUUUAGACACACUUUGACAUCAACACUCAUCAUACAAACCUUAAUAAUGGUGACAAAACAGCUACUAAAAUUCAUGCCGCAAUGCAUGCUGGGAGCCAUGAAUGAGUUUUGAUUGGUGCACCCAGAAUGCACUGCAGCAUGAAGCUUUUUGUUGAUUGUCUCCAUUGCUGAGAUUAAUACGCUGAUUCUUAACCCUCUUCAUUUUUUUUUGUUGGUAAGAGAAGACCUUAGUUUAUCCAAUGAUGUGCUUUGGUUAAGUCACAUGACAUGCAAUUUUUUUUCUGUGGCGCGAUUUCUGACAGACUGCCGUCUCUUGUCGGUAGUUGCUGAAAGCAAACUAAAACGUCAGUAACAAACAAGGACCCGCCCAUGUCACAUUCACAAAAAACAUCAUCUCAGGUAAGUUAUGAUGACAUAUUCACCACUCUGAAUUCACCAGUUUUUAUGAAAAUAGUUUUUGGUAAAUCGAUAAAAUGUCUGUGUUGCCAAGUGGCAACACUGUGCAAUAAUGGAAUGACAUUAUUGUAAUAGGUUAGCUAGCUAGCAAAGGUCAGCUGCAGUCUGUUAAGCUGUAACAAUAACAACAUUAAUGCUAGUGAUAUAAUGUUGAUUAGUCGUAUGUUAAGGACUGCCAUGGCAUUUGUAUUAUGGAUUAAAUCAACAUCGGAGACCUGCCUGCCCACUGUCACCACAGCCAGUACUACUGGACCAGACCAACCACUGGCCUACCAUGGUGUCUCAAAAAGGCAGGUGCAAGUGGCUGUAAGUGUAUUGUUAGGGUGAAGUGCACCAAAUGUGAUGUGUACCUGUGCCUCACCUCUUAAAAAAAUGUGUUUUGAAGUUUCGUACAGAAAAAAGGUGAGGUUUCAAGGAUUAUGGGGGGUUCAUGUUCAUAACCUUCCUCUCAUAAGAUUGCAUAAUGUUGAAUUUUCAUGAACUGCAAUGUUUUUGGUUUUAUGUCAAUGUUUUAUGAUACAUGAUGAACAGUAUUAUAUUUGUUUUUAACUCUCUAAAUUUGCAAUUUAAGUAAUAUUCAUGAAACCAUAAUGAAAUUCAAAGAAUAUAAAGCAUUAUCCAGCAAAAGAGAAUGGAAUAAAUAAAAGCACAAGAUGUUGGAAAAUAUUUAUAAGGUGUUGUUUAUAAUUACUGCUAAAGCUUAUAAUAGCACCAAUUGAUUCAAUACAAACAACAUUUCUGAGGAAAAAUAUUAACUAUAUACACUUACACUUAUUCUAAGUUAUUUCCACUAUUGUACGUUGUUGCCAUAUGGCAGCAUAUAAUAAAGUACCUUAAAAUAAUAUUUUUUUUCAAUUUUUUUUUUUUUUUUUUACAGCACUUCAAGUUAAGCCAUUCUAAGAACUUACUCUCCAGCAUGUUUUUUUAAAAAUUCUUCAAAUGAUCAGAUUGUCAUGACACUGAUGGAGCAAAUGCUGCAGUAUCACAAGAUCAGUAGAACAUUCAGAGACACUAAUAGCACUAAACCCUAUCAAACAGUGAUGAGGUUUCAGAUGUGAUCAGUGAAGAAAACUACUUUAUGAUGCUUAUAUUAUUCAUAAGUAACAAGCAUCUGAUUUCUGUCUUUCUUUAACACAACAAGCAUGUUUUCUAAACAGUGUUAAAGCAGCCAAAAAAAAUGUUAACUGGAAAAUUCAAGGAUCAAGAGCACAACUAAAGGAAACACUAUUCACCAAAAUGAUGACUUUAAAAAAAUCUUAUUUUCAAUUAUAAAUAAAUAAGUGAAAUUGGCAAAGGUUUUUUUUUUUUGAGUUGUUUAAUCAUCCUCUGCUGAGAUCUUGAGAGAUUUCAUUUAAUUGUUUGCAGUUGAUGUUUCAGUGGCUGACAUCAGAUCAGUUAUUAUUUGCAGUAAAAAUGAAUUUGAAUGAAAAAGAUCUCAACAAAACAUGGCUGAAACAUUUGAAAUAAAAUAAUUAUUUACAAUUUUUUUUUUUUUUUUUUUUUGGUUUAAGUAAGAAAUAAGUCAAAUUAGGUGUAGCGUCUGGAGCGAUCAAACACAAUUGUAAAAGGCAAUCACCCAUGCAGGCCCCAUAAGGUCUGGCUCCCCCACUGAGUGCUAUCACCCCAUCUGCACCAUUUGCUCUUUACACACAUUUCAAAGACACUUAGGAGACAGGCCACUAGAACCAUACAUUGUCUAUAAAACUGGAUUCUUUGCCAUUAAUUCAUUGACAACCUCGUCUAAAUGAAUGAACAUGCAUUUCCCCGGUACAUGUGUUAUGCAUGCCUGAAAGUUAGAACUAUGAGAUAAUGUAUUUCAUCUAGGUGAUGUUUACUAUCAAAUUACUCCUUGUUUAAUGACUCACAUGUUGGUGGACAUCAAAAUAUCAUAGAAUGCAUUGUAUGUUUGUUACAUUUAUCAGAGUAUAAAUGGACACAAACCUACAAACCCAGGCAAAUGAACUCAUUUUCAAACAAAGGAAAUCCCCCGCCAGAGAAUUGCACCUUUCUCAUUGGUCAAGCCAUGACUCGAAGGUGUCGACUGUCUGGAGAGUUCAAAAAGCCCCCACGAAAUGACCUUAGAGUUUGUUGUAGUUUGUUGGAAAAUCAUACCACACUGCUGAGACAUUCCACUAGCCAACAAACGCUGAUUAAACAUGUUCAGUCGGGUGAAAACAAACUCUGACCAAUGGCAACAGACGCCGAUAGGGGUAUCACACUGAUCCAACAAACUCCAACAGACAAGUUUGUUGGUGUUUAUUGCCGUUUGUCUGUGCGGUGUGAACUGGCCUUAACAAGGAAGACUUCAGUUCUGAAAUUUACAGGAUAUUUUUGUAGUAUGAUGACCUGUUAUUUGUCAAGGAAAAUUUGAUUUCUCAAUUCAUGACCCCUUUAACUGUAGAUAUAUCUGUGAAAUAAUCAGAGAAUCUGAUCACAAGGUCUAUGCACAAUUUCUAUUCACGACAUGAGUCAGUAAUCAGAGUUUGAGGGAUGGAUGAGACUUGAAAUGUCCAUCUUAUUGAGGAAGUUAAGAAGGAAAUGAUGGGAUUAUCCAUGAUCCAAAUACCAUCCAAAAACCUAAUGAUCAAUUACCAGCAGCUGCCAAUUUUACAGCAACAUCACAGUUCACUUGGAGUCUUUGACCAAAAAACUGAUAAAAACUUGAUAAUGAGUUACACAUAUGAUGCUGUAGAAGGUCACUUUACUGACAAGGAACUGAACGUGGGUUAAAAUAGGAAAGAAGAAGAAGAAAAAAAACAAACUGAUAGGACACACAAUGCCACACAUGGCAUUGUGUGGAAAGUCUGACAACCCUUAUGGAAAAAAAAUAUAUGGGAAUAUACUGCAAAAUAUAAUGUGAUAUAUUACAUAAUACAUUUCCAUAUGGGAAACUAGUGCUUGUAUUUUUCAAUAUACUGCAAUAUAUGCAUUGACCAUGUAUGGCUAUAUAUUGAUACAUAUAACCCUCCGGUCCUCUUCGGUCAAAAAUGACCGAAAAAUUUUACGUUUUGAAAUGUAAAAAUGUUUUGCUUCAUCGGAAUGGGAUGACACUUUGUGACUUUUGUCGCAUUAUGCACAAAAAAAUCAUGGACAUGAUUCGGAUAUGUUAAGGGUCGUAAAAAAAUAGUCACAGUUGGCUCCUUCGUGGUCAAAAAUGACCGACAUAGGAAAUGAAUGGGAAAUACGAAAAAAAUGUGAAAACUCUUUCAAUCUUUUGGUGGUACAAACUACAAAUCAGCCACUGUGCAGACAAAAAGUGCACAGCAAUGAAGGGGUGACACUCUAAAAUGUCAAGAGUGCAAAAUAGAGAAACCAGGCUCAGUCGGGGCCAGUUCUCCUCUGGCCAAAAACGAACAGUACAUGAUUAUGAUUCAGGCAGCAUUACAGGUCAUAAGUCAGAUUGGGAUCGCAACAGUCAAAAUAUUUAAUCCAGUUCCAUCUAGUACAAGAUCGUAUUCAUCAAGCCGGUAUGGGAUGGUUUGUUGUUGAUCUGUGCCACUGGCUGUCGUGUCGAUGAGGCCUUCACAGGGGAUGGUCUAGUUGACACAAUCUCUGCUGACACUUCAGGGAUGCGUUGUGGUCGUGUCUAGGCGCAGGUCCUCAAUCUGACCUGGAUACGGCCCAGAUCCGGCUGACUACAGUAAACCUCUGGAUAAACAGAGAGACUAAUAUUAGCGUAGAUGCCAUUCUUGUUCUGAUGUAACGAGUACAUUGGGUGUUAUUGGAAGUGUUCCCGGUUCCGGCUGACCUAAUUUAUGCAGCCUAACAAUCCUUUAACGGAUGUGAAAAUAUAAAUUGAUAAUGUAUUAUGUGUAUGCCAGGUUAAAGAGAUGCGUUUUUAGUCUAGAUUUAAACUGACAGAGUGUGUCUGCUUCCCGAACAAUGCUAGGAAGACUGAUCUAAUGAUAAGAGCAAAUGUAACGAAUUACAAUGAAUUAAUUAAUUAGCUCAAAUUAUGGAUGAAAUAUAUGUAUAAUUAAAUCAUAACGCGUUAUGAUCAAUUAUAAUAUAAAUUGACCAGAAAGGGAAUUAUGCACAUAUAUUGUGAAUUAAUUACAAUGGAUUAAUACAAAGUUCAGUCAUGAAACUCUAACCGAGCGCUGAUUGGUUCUUUCUAUGCCGCGGCACCAUCCAAUCAGAAGUAAUUCCAAAUCCACGCAACCAUAUAUAUCGUACCCUAGCCUGCGAUCUACAAGCUGCGCAAUGUGAUGCGCUGUUAUGAGCAGAAUGCUUUCAGAAAUCCUCCGAAAUUCAACAUCUAAGAUAAGUAAACAGGUUUUCUUAUGAUAUCGCACAAUGCUUUGCGUAGUCUGCUUUCAAUUUCUUCAAGUAUCAUACACGAGGUUCAAAUCAUGUCAACUCCCAACCUACAGUGAUCACCAUGCACAUUAGCAGCUAGCGUACAUGCAUCGCAUUCGGAGUAGGAAGCAGAUAUGUUGUAAGGAUACAGAAAUAUAGCUUGUUAAACUCUAAGUGAAAUGGGCUUCACUCCUUUUUCGUAUAAUAGAGCUACAGCAAUUCCUAAUAUUUAAGCAGCAGUGUUACGAGUCCCGGGCGUGGAACACGUAAACAGAUUACAAAACCUCUGAAUUAUCAGGAGAAGUAAACACAAGAAAAGAUCAGGGGCUUUCCUCAAACGCAGCUUGUAGCGUCUCUUUAUUAACAUCAUAUCAUUUUGACUUUAUAAUUAUCAAUGUCACAAAAUAUACACUAUUCACACAUCAGUUGUCUUAACUGUUAUAUUAGUAUCUUUUAAAAUGAAACUGUUUUACUGUACAAAAUGAUCACCGUCACUCUCAUAACACAUAUACACUACUCUAAGUCUGAACAAAUAUACACUUCUGAGUCAUUUUUAUAUUGGUAAAUUAGCGCAUACUGAAAUAAAAUGUAUUAUUUACAUGUGAAUUGAUUACAAUCACAACAAUCAACCGUUUUACCCUGUAAUUACUUUCACAUUUAACACAAACAAGUUAUUAGUUUUAAACACAUAGGAAAUGUGAACUGACAUGUCUUAUAAUGGCAAUGGCACAUAUUUUCAUUUUUUUUAUGAAUAUAUACCUGAAUUAUCAGGAGAAGUAAACACAAGAAAAGAUCAGGGGCUUUCCUCAAACGCAGCUUGUAGCGUCUGAAGUAAACACAACGCGCAUCACCAUAGCAACCCACAACGGACUCCCUCUAGUGGCAACAGUUGUAUAUUCUUUUAAAACUUCAGUCUUAAGUGGUGAUAAUGACUCAGUGUACAAUAAACUCUUUGUCAAAUAAAUAAAGAAAGAAAUACAUAAAUAAUUAAAUAAAUGUAUAAAUAAAUAUUAAUACCAAAAGACACAUUACCUUGUGAUUACACAUGGCCCAGAUAGCACACAUACAUGUGGCCGAUGUCGGCCCCAGAGCGGAACGUCGGCCUCAUAUCUGUAACAUCUAAUAAGGAUCGGCCAGGCAUAGGCGCGUGUCUUCAGUCAGUGCUCUAUUUCCAGCUCGUCGGCUUUGGGUCGGAUCACGACUGCAGGCCGAUGCCGCGCUUAUCUGUUUGCGCGUGACCAUUCAUCUCUGCAACCCACGAGAGAAAUGGCGACUCCGGCGACAUCUGUGGUUUUCAGGAGUGAACAAAUCUACAACACCGGAGGGGGAAGAGCUGCUGACAGGAGUAACUUUAGGAAACUCAGGUACUCCAGUCCCAGCUACUGCGUUUACGUAGGAAGUGUGGUGAAUGUGAUGGGCCGGAUGUAAAUUUGAAGAUAAUCGUCUACAGUCAUUACAGUGGGUUAAAAGCUGUGGGCCAGCAGGUGGUUCCGGUUUACAUGGUCCGGUAUCAUCUCCCUGAGGACAGCAGGUGGAACAGUUUCAUCCCUGUUGCUGACACUGGACCCCAGCGCACCAAGCCUCUUCAAGUCCCCCCAACCGUCUACUGAACAGCAUAGUGAAGACAUUCCCAACAACCAAGCUAUUCCUACACCUCUGCGCUACAUGUUUCACCACUUCAGAAGGAAAGCUCUUGAUCCACAUUCCAUACUUUUCUAGUGGCAGUUCUCACAGGUUGUAUAAUAUAAAUAAAUUAAAUAGUUCUCUUACAUUUAAGCACUCAAAAAUGGCAGAUUUAACAAGGUCACACUUUAUUAUCCAGCAUUAAUUCCGUGUUUUGAUCUUCUUUCAUGUCACGAUUCCUGCAAAUUCGGAGAAUGCAGCUCCUCAGAUCCUUACAGCUGAUGGAAACUGAUGACCAGGGCCUGGUUCGUUAAAACACCCAUGUCAUUCACGUGGCUUCUACACUUACCACUCAUCCAGAAUCGGCGCAGCAAUGUCAGCAUUCCAAGAGUACUACCCACUACCCUUAAAGAAAUGGGCCGCUGGAAUUCGGCAGCCCACAAAUGCUACAUCAGACCUAAUUCCAAAGACCUUGAAAGGACAAGAAACAUCUCUGAUUUAAAUUAUCAGGUGGUGCUGGGCAUCCGGGUAUAUUAAUUUAUUCAGAUACAAUUUUCAAUUGAUCAUUUGCGGAGGUUAGCAAUGACGUGUAUGCAGCAUUUUACAGUAUCUGAAUCCUCAGCUAGUGGAGGGGAGGAUCUCGGCUACGAGAUUUGAGUUUGAUGCAGGGGACCGGGGACAAAUGUUCCGGAGCGGUCACCAUCAAAAAACCAGCAUACCAUACACUGCAUUAGAUAAAACCAAUCACAUUCUAUAGGCAUGUUAUUUAUGCAUAUGAGCUCUGGCUCAGUAUCAUUCUAGUUUAGGCCACUAGGUCAGAUGCACAUUUAUAGGUAAGCUCAAUAGUGUUAAGCCACUCGGCAAAGCAGGCCAAGGCACACAUAGAUAGUCAUACAUGCGCCUAUAGCUCUACGGAGCAGCAGCAGUACACAUAUUUUGGCGUUCAGAUCUGCUGGGUGGGGGGUAUCAGGCCGAAGCUACCCGGCCGCUUUCUUAACUUGGGUAGCACGGACCAUGCGGUCCACUGCUUUGAGGGGGUUCUACCAUUCUUGCAGCAGCCUUUCCUUGUUGUUUUCUUUGACUAAGCUGAACAAAUUUGUAUUUGCUCAGCAGCAGCAGUAGCAACAGCAGCAGCAACGUAGCAGAUCUCGUACGCCAAAAUCAAGCCAUGUAUACUUCAUGCCCCAUGCCAAUAAAUGCUGGUUGAAUUUAA